ensembl:lncRNA
UUAAUGCAGCACCAAACAAUGUGCUCAAGAUGCAACUGAAACUUAAAUUCAGUUUCCAGUUCCAGAAAAAUGAAAGGAGUGCAUGCAGCCAAUAAUCCACUGUAUUUGUUAAAUAAUAUUUCAGUAAGCAAAUACUAUGUAUUUAGUAAUGCCUUAAUAAAGAAUCAAAUAUGAUAAGAUGUUUCUUUAUAGUGCCAUAUAGUUUUCUGUUUGCAGUAUUAAAAGAUUGUACAUAAUUAACUCAUUAUGUUGCUGGUAUUUUUGCAGGUAUUUCAGAAAUAACAGCAUCAGUGAAUCCUGCACUCAGUUCUGAUCCAGAUGUUGUAGUCUCAUGUUCAGCCACUGGUAAACCAACUCCAACUAUCCACUGGAAAUCUGCAGAGAAAGAGCUGGACAACUUUAGGUCAAGUAAUUUUACAACUCUCAACAAAGACAGCUCAACCACCAUUACAAGCAACCUCACGCUUCCACUGUCACAGUUUCAUGGGGAGUAUGUGGAAUGUGUGGCUCAGAGUGACAGCAUGGAGAAGAGCAGCCAAAUCACUUUGCCUAAAGUACAUUCUAAAGUGAACGCUACACCAAGAAGUUACAUCAUUACAGUUUCAGUCCUCAUCAUCAUGGCUGUUGUGGUUAUUGUCAUUAUGGUCAUCUGUUUUCACACCAGACUAAAGAGUAAGCAGCAAAAUCCCUCUAUCCAACAAGUUGAAAUAGGCUAAUACAACCCAACAUACUGUAAUCUUUUGAGAAUAGAUCUCAGUGGCAAAAUAAUUUAAUACAUAAUUUCAUUUUGCUUAUUUUUCUCCCCCCCCAAGGAGCCACUUUUGGGAUAAAAUCUACUUAUGAGGAACCCCUUAAGGAGGAAUGUUAACUCUACAGCUACCUUAUAGUAGUAUGCAAUUUUGCUCAUGACCUUUUGCUCAUGACCUGGUUCUAGCCUGUGUGUUCCUUAAAGGAAUCAUGAAUUUCCUGUCUAGUAUUUAUUUAAUUUAUUUAUUUAUGUUUACAUUACUGUAUAGUAUUCCAUUGCAUUAAUACAGUUAAAUAUAUAAUAUUUUACCACUAUGUAAGCGUAUUUUGACCACAGAGAAUAAUAUGGAUGGAUGAUAUUCAUACUGUAACUUUAGAUUUUCAUGCUUAUACAUUAGCAUUUUAUGACUCAGAUUAAUGUACUGCCAUACACUAAAUUGUUUUUAAUUGUGUCUUCUUCUUUUGAGUCUAACGGUGAUUUAUAAAUUCAGAAAUGCAAGCUCUAUAUAAGUCUUGAUGUUGUGGUAUGGUAUUGUGUUGAGCAAUGACAGAGAUUUGGGGAAGAAAAAUAUUGUUACCCAAUACAGAUAAGCUAAAGGCUGAGAAACCUAGUUUUCAGCAGUGUGAAAUAAAGUGAAAGUUAUGUCAUUAAUGGAAGCAGAAGCUGUUUUGUGGUUUCCUCCACGAAACUCUAAAGGCUGUACAGAGAGAUGACUGCUAUUGUUAGUAUUUAUACUAUUUUUAUUUGUUGACUGCAGCAAGCUUGCUAAAAGUAAGUGUAUCAAUAUGUCAGGAAUGACUGUAAAGUAAAUCAUAAAAGGAUAAACACAUUUUUGUUUCUGAAAAGAUUUCUGUGUGAUAUGUAUGUAUGAAUAUGUAUGUUACAGUAUAUGUCUAACAUGUUAAUGCAGGUUAUGCAAUUGCACUGAAUUAAAAAAUGUGAACUGUUGGAUUCAUGACUGGAUUACUUACUAACAUUUCUAUACUCUGUACUUCUACCAAAUGUGUAAACCCAAAAAGGAGAGAGAAAAAAACAAAAACAGGAAAAACACAGAAAAUAGGGCACAUAAAUGAUGUCAACAAAUUCAUGUGAUGCAUAUAUAUAUAUAUAUAUAUAUGACAUGACUAAAAAAUAUCAUAUGACAAGAUUUCUAAAAAUCUUGUCAUAAAAAAUUCUGACUUAUACGUGACUGCUGAUUUUGAAAGAAACAGAGGAAGUUAUUCAAGUAGUGAUCAGAAAGGGGCCCUUUGUCUGGUUUAGCUGAAAAUGACACUUAAAAUUUAAAGCUGUAAGCAGUAAAAGUUGAGGCAUGAAUCUUGUACAAGAUGAACCUACUGUGUAGCUAAAUACUGUAUGUGCCUAUUCUGCAUUUAUCACAACUUGCAGUAUCAAACCACCUCCAGUGAAAUCCGGAUUAAGUUCAUUUAGAAUUUUUGUUCUCUCAAAUGACCAACUCAAAACUUUCAAACAGCACUUUACUCCUUUUUUGUUUUUUCAGCAGUCAUGUGGUCUGUGAUUGUCUGACUUGAGUGCUGCAUCUGCAAAGUUUAAAGGAAGCUGUCGAUACACAUGUAGUGAUAUAUAAUCAUAACUGUAGCCAGCUAUGAGUUCACCAUAUAAAUGUCUGCAUGUAUAAUUCAGUUUAGACAGUUUGCAAGAAUAAUUAGCGUCCUUGGUAUAAAAACUAUCACUGCAAGUCUCUGGCGGAGUGAACGAAUCUUGAGGGCGCGGGCGCAACCUCCGUGUUGCCAGAUCCAUAGAUUAUAGACGUUUUUGGACUUGUCUUUUCCACUUAAUUUGAAAGUUAAUAGAGUGGGAAGUUUUAAUAUAGGGUCAGCGAUAUACAUAUUAGUAUAUCUUAUUUGCAAAAUAUUUGAAAUAAUUUUGAAAUAAUAUCUGGCAACACUGCAUCGCCGGCACUAAAACUGACCGUUAUCAAAAGAGCCCAUGGACAUGUUAGCUAUUGCUGACAGGAUAGCACAUUAGGUAAGGGAAACGCAAAAAAAUAUCAUGAAAGUGAAAGUUGUGACAUUUGCCAAGUAUGGUAACCCAUACUCAGAAUGGGUGCUCUGCAUUUAACCCAUCCAAGUGCACAAACACAGCAGUGAGAAGUGAACACACUGUGAACACACACCCGGAGCAGUGGGCAGCUAUAUCCAGAACCUGCGACCUCCGGGUUACAAGUCCAACCCUCUAACCAUUAGGCAACAGCUGCCCCCAAUAUUAUCUAUUAGAAACGUUAUCAACAUAAUCAAAAACAGUAUCAUUUAACACUUGUGCACACAGAUCUGUUGAACAAGUAGGUUACAGAAUGAAACGAAAUACACAAACACUAGCCAUAAAGAAGAUAUGCUAUUUUAUUUAGUAGUCAUUACAUUUUCACAAAGUCAUGCUAAAAACAUCCAUAAGAGCACUGGACAAAGUUAUCAUAGAGCAAUGAUUAUUAAUGAAAACUACCUGUUGCGACCGGUUUAUAUGCUUACGUCAUUUAUGACCUUACUUCGAUAAAAGAAAAUGGGUUACCGCGUUUACAUGACCAAGUGUG